rnacentral:rRNA from 1 species
CAGCCGCCACGGUAAUACAGAGGGUGCGAGCGUUAAUCGGAUUUACUGGGCGUAAAGCGUGCGUAGGCGGCUAAUUGAGUCGGAUGUGAAAUCCCCGAGCUUAACUUGGGAAUUGCAUUCGAUACUGGUUAGCUAGAGUGUGGGAGAGGAUGGUAGAAUUCAAGGUGUAGCGGUGAAAUGCGUAGAGAUCUGGAGGAAUACCGAUGGCGAAGGCAGCCAUCUGGCCUAACACUGACGCUGAGGUACGAAAGCAUGGGGAGCAAACAGGAUUAGAUACCCGUGUAGUCCCUGUCUCUUAUAC